GUAGUCCACGCCCUAAACGAUGGAUACUCGCUGUGGCUGGUAUUGACCCCGGCCGUAGCCAAGGUAACCCGAUAAGUAUCCCGCCUGGGGAGUACGGUCGCAAGAUUAAAACUCAAAGGAAUUGACGGGGACCCGCACAAGCGGUGGAUUAUGUGGUUUAAUUCGAAGCAACGCGAAAAACCUUACCUAGCCUUGACUUCCUACUGAACCUCUGUGGAAACAUGGAGGGGCCCGUAAGGGACAGUAGAGACAGGUGCUGCAUGGCUGUCGUCAGCUCGUGUCGUGAGAUGUUCGGUUAAGUCCGGCAACGAGCGCAACCCUUGUCUUUAGUUGCCAUCAUUAAGUUGGGCACUCUAGAGAGACUGCCGAUGUCAAAUCGGA
rnacentral:rRNA from 1 species